ACAUGCAAGUCGAGCGGACAGAUGGGAGCUUGCUCCCUGAUGUUAGCGGCGGACGGGUGAGUAACACGUGGGUAACCUGCCUGUAAGACUGGGAUAACUCCGGGAAACCGGGGCUAAUACCGGAUGCUUGUUUGAACCGCAUGGUUCAAACAUAAAAGGUGGCUUCGGCUACCACUUACAGAUGGACCCGCGGCGCAUUAGCUAGUUGGUGAGGUAACGGCUCACCAAGGCAACGAUGCGUAGCCGACCUGAGAGGGUGAUCGGCCACACUGGGACUGAGACACGGCCCAGACUCCUACGGGAGGCAGCAGUAGGGAAUCUUCCGCAAUGGACGAAAGUCUGACGGAGCAACGCCGCGUGAGUGAUGAAGGUUUUCGGAUCGUAAAGCUCUGUUGUUAGGGAAGAACAAGUACCGUUCGAAUAGGGCGGUACCUUGACGGUACCUAACCAGAAAGCCACGGCUAACUACGUGCCAGCAGCCGCGGUAAUACGUAGGUGGCAAGCGUUGUCCGGAAUUAUUGGGCGUAAAGGGCUCGCAGGCGGUUCCUUAAGUCUGAUGUGAAAGCCCCCGGCUCAACCGGGGAGGGUCAUUGGAAACUGGGGAACUUGAGUGCAGAAGAGGAGAGUGGAAUUCCACGUGUAGCGGUGAAAUGCGUAGAGAUGUGGAGGAACACCAGUGGCGAAGGCGACUCUCUGGUCUGUAACUGACGCUGAGGAGCGAAAGCGUGGGGAGCGAACAGGAUUAGAUACCCUGGUAGUCCACGCCGUAAACGAUGAGUGCUAAGUGUUAGGGGGUUUCCGCCCCUUAGUGCUGCAGCUAACGCA
rnacentral:rRNA from 1 species